GACGAACGCUGGCGGCGUGCUUAACACAUGCAAGUCGAACGGAAAGGCCCUGCUUUUGUGGGGUGCUCGAGUGGCGAACGGGUGAGUAACACGUGAGUAACCUGCCCUUGACUUUGGGAUAACUUCAGGAAACUGGGGCUAAUACCGGAUAGGAGCUCCUGCUGCAUGGUGGGGGUUGGAAAGUUUCGGCGGUUGGGGAUGGACUCGCGGCUUAUCAGCUUGUUGGUGGGGUAGUGGCUUACCAAGGCUUUGACGGGUAGCCGGCCUGAGAGGGUGACCGGCCACAUUGGGACUGAGAUACGGCCCAGACUCCUACGGGAGGCAGCAGUGGGGAAUAUUGCACAAUGGGCGGAAGCCUGAUGCAGGAACGCCGCGUGCGGGAUGACGGCCUUCGGGUUGUAAACCGCUUUCGCCUGUGACGAAGCGUGAGUGACGGUAAUGGGUAAAGAAGCACCGGCUAACUACGUGCCAGCAGCCGCGGUGAUACGUAGGGUGCGAGCGUUGUCCGGAUUUAUUGGGCGUAAAGGGCUCGUAGGUGGUUGAUCGCGUCGGAAGUGUAAUCUUGGGGCUUAACCCUGAGCGUGCUUUCGAUACGGGUUGACUUGAGGAAGGUAGGGGAGAAUGGAAUUCCUGGUGGAGCGGUGGAAUGCGCGGAUAUCAGGAGGAACACCAGUGGCGAAGGCGGUUCUCUGGGCCUUUCCUGACGCUGAGGAGCGAAAGCGUGGGGAGCGAACAGGCUUAGAUACCCUGGUAGUCCACGCUGUAAACGGUGGGUACUAGGUGUGGGGUCCAUUCCACGGGUUCCGUGCCGUAGCUAACGCUUUAAGUACCCCGCCUGGGGAGUACGGCCGCAAGGCUAAAACUCAAAGGAAUUGACGGGGCCCCGCACAAGCGGCGGAGCAUGCGGAUUAAUUCGAUGCAACGCGUAGAACCUUACCUGGGUUUGACAUAGAUCGGGAGUGCUCAGAGAUGGGUGUGCCUCUUUUGGGGUCGGUUCACAGGUGGUGCAUGGCUGUCGUCAGCUCGUGUCGUGAGAUGUUGGGUUAAGUCCCGCAACGAGCGCAACCCUUGUUCACUGUUGCCAGCACGUUAUGGUGGGGACUCAGUGGAGACCGCCGGGGUCAACUCGGAGGAAGGUGGGGAUGACGUCAAGUCAUCAUGCCCCUUAUGUCCAGGGCUUCACGCAUGCUACAAUGGCUGGUACAGAGAGUGGCGAGCCUGUGAGGGUGAGCGAAUCUCGGAAAGCCGGUCUCAGUUCGGAUUGGGGUCUGCAACUCGACCUCAUGAAGUCGGAGUCGCUAGUAAUCGCAGAUCAGCAACGCUGCGGUGAAUACGUUCCCGGG
rnacentral:rRNA from 1 species